rnacentral:rRNA from 1 species
GAUGAACGCUGGCGGCGUGCUUAACACAUGCAAGUCGAACGAUGAAGCCCAGCUUGCUGGGUGGAUUAGUGGCGAACGGGUGAGUAACACGUGAGUAACCUGCCCUUGACUCUGGGAUAAGCCUGGUAAACUGGGUCUAAUACUGGAUAUGACUUCUCAUCGCAUGGUGGGGGGUGGAAAGAUUUAUGGGUCUUGGAUGGACUCGCGGCCUAUCAGCUUGUUGGCGAGGUAAUGGCUCACCAAGGCGACGACGGGUAGCCGGCCUGAGAGGGUGACCGGCCACACUGGGCCUGAGACACGGCCCAGACUCCUACGGGAGGCAGCAGUGGGGAAUAUUGCACAAUGGGCGCAAGCCUGAUGCAGCGACGCCGCGUGAGGGAUGACGGCCUUCGGGUUGUAAACCUCUUUCAGUAGGGAAGAAGCGAGAGUGACGGUACCUGCAGAAGAAGCGCCGGCUAACUACGUG